AAGGUGAGGGAUCUCAGCCGUAUCUCUCCACGCGAGGGAUCUCCAUGCCCGAGGAGACUCGUGUCCCAGAUUUAAACCAGUACCAGGUAGAAUGUCCAGACAGUACAUGCAAGGGAUCUGAUCAGGUAGUCAUGUUUACAUUUUAAUGCAUUUACAGUGAUAUUACAUAUUAUCCUCUAACAGUUUUUGUUUACAAUGUUUCUAUGUGCAGGGCAUACCUGAUGUAAAUUGGAACGAUGAGUACACCCAACCUGGCGACAAUGUUAACGCAGUAGAUACGGAUUUCUUCAGAGAGGACGUUAUUGGCCCAUCUUUUAUCCCUGAGGAGUCA
rnacentral:lncRNA from 1 species